rnacentral:pre_miRNA from 1 species
AAUAGAUGACGCCAUUGACUUUUUCUCACAUAUUUGACCAUUCGUCUUAUUCAAAAAUUUUAUGCAAAUGUAUAAGAUAUAAAUCACACUUAAAGUACUAUGAGUGAUAAAACAACUCAUAACAAAAUUUUUUGAAUAAGACGAAUGGUCAAACAUGUGAGAAAAAGUCAACGGCGUCAUCUAUU